ACUUAAAACAACUCUCCUCCUAACAAAGGACAAAGACCAUCUCCAAGCUGCUGCUGACCCGCCUACAUGACAUAGCUGGAGUAGAUGGUACAGCACUGCAACAUCUGAAGUCUUCCCUCUCACCCCAGACUCAGUGGUGAUGGCAACUGCUCCUGAUCCCCAAGGGCUCUCACCUGCAUGGUCUCCAAAAGAUCCACCCUACUCUCCUGGCCCCCUACAACAUCUGCAUUGAUACAGCCAACACAGUCAUGAAUAUGUCACAAUGCCUACAUCUGGAUUAAGGGUAUCUGACUCAAUCUGAACCCAGGCAAGACUGAAGUGAUCAGAAGAGGAAAAUACUUGAAGAAAUUUGCUGGGACAUCUCCCUCCUCUCCCACAAAGGGCACAUCUCCCACCCUGUCCAUCAGACUGGUAUGGAGAGGUAGUUUGGCUGGGAUACUACCUGGUCAUUUAGGGGAUGGUGGGUAUCAGUGGCUGGGACUCCCCUACCCUUCAAGUGGUUUGUGGCAGCAACCCCCCACCCACCCACCCAAACACACCACCAGCUUCUUCCACCUUCAGCUGCUACAAUCCUCUACCCCUUCUUCCUUGAAGAUCUAGCCCCAAUAAUCCAUGCGUUUAUCACCUUCAGACUUGAUUACUAUAAUUCACUGUACUUGUGACUAAACAUUCGAGCAACAGAGAAACCAGCUUAUGCAAAAUACAACUGCCAGCUACUGUGAGCUUACUACUUUGUUCUUUAUUGGCUCCCACUUGACAGCAUGGUCAAGAUAGUUGGGCAUGAGUGGGACUCCACUAUGUCCCACUGAUUCCAGGCUGCUAUAACUGUCUCUUGGGGCUAUUGGUAGUUUGUGUAAUUUAGAACAACCUUCAGGAGAACCAGAGCAGGAUCAGGGGAGCAUGGAGUUCACCUUUGUAUCUUCCUUUUGAGCUUUGCCCAAUGCUCCUCAGGUGCAGCCAAAGGGCUGGACACCUGUAUCAUUAACACUAAUCCUACCUGCCCCAACAAGUUCUUUCUAGUUGCUCAAAAUCGUGUCCCCCAGAUGACUGGUACAUACUGUCUUUGCACUUUCAUCCUCUUCUUCUGCCCAUUCUGUUUGAGUUCCACUCUCCAGAUAAUCAGCCACUUCCUUCUCC